UAAGAUCACAGAGUCUGAAGAGU
rnacentral:miRNA from 1 species